rnacentral:tRNA from 1 species
GCAGUCGUGGCCGAGUGGUUAAGGCGAUGGACUUGAAAUGCAUUGGGUCUCCCAGCGCAGGUUCGAAUCCUGUCGGCUGCG